UUUCUACUCCCUCCGUCCGAAAAUACUUGUCAUCAAAAUGGAUAAAAGAGAUGUAUCUAAAACUAAAAUACGUCUAGAUACAUUUCAUUUUAUCCAUUUUGAUGACAAGUAUUUCUGGACGGAGGGAGUAUUUG
rnacentral:pre_miRNA from 1 species